rfam:Brassica napus, WGS project CCCW01000000 data, contig: 15717
GUCCCUUCGAGGACGUCUCAUAAAAUUGGAACGAUACAGAAAAGAUUAGUAUGAUUUCUACGCAAGGAUAAUAUGUACAAAUCAAAAACUAGUCCAAAUUUUU